UUGUAAUUUGCAGAGGAUGCUUUUGGCGCGGUGCCUUCCGAGUUCCCUGGAACGGGACGCCAUAGAGGGGGAGAGCCCCGUCUGGUCGGACACCAAGCCAGUGUAAAGCUCCUUCGACGAGUCGAGUAGUUUGGGAAUGCUGCUCUAAAUGGGAGGUAUAUGUCUUCUAAAGCUAAAUACCGGCCAGAGACCGAUAGCGCACAAGUAGAGUGAUCGAAAGAUGAAAAGCACUUUGAAAAGAGGGUUAAAAAGUACGUGAAAUUGUUGAAAGGGAAGCGUUUAUGACCAGACUUGGGCCCGGUGAAUCAUCCAGCGUUCUCGCUGGUGCACUUUGCCGGGCUCAGGCCAGCAUCAGUUCGCCGCGGGGGACAAAAGCUUCGGGAACGUGGCUCCCUCGGGAGUGUUAUAGCCCGUUGCACAAUACCCUGUGGUGGACUGAGGUUCGCGCUCCGCAAGGAUGCUGGCGUAAUGGUCAUCAGCGACCCGUCUUGAAACACGGACCAAGGAGUCGUCUUCGUAUGCGAGUGUUCGGGUGUAAAACCCCUACGCGUAAUGAAAGUGAACGCAGGUGAGAGCUUCGGCGCAUCAUCGACCGAUCCUGAUGUUCUCGGAUGGAUUUGAGUAAGAGCAUACGGGGCCGGACCCGAAAGA
rnacentral:rRNA from 1 species